UUCAGCUGCAGGGAACAAGCAUGGAGGUGGUGGGAUCAUUACACUAUAACUGACUCAAGCAUGGAGGUGGUGGUAUCAUUACACUAUAACUGACUCAAGCAUGGAGGUGGUAUCAUUAUACUAUAACUGACUCAAGCAUGGAGGUGGUGGUAUCAUUACACUAUAACUGACUCAAGCAUGGAGGUGGUGGGAUCAUUACACUAUAACUGACUCAAGCAUGGAGGUGGUAUCAUUAUACUAUAACUGACUCAAGCAUGGAGGUGCUGGUAUCAUUACACUAUAACUGACUCAAGCAUGGAGGUGGUGGGAUCAUUACACUAUAACUGACUCAAGCAUGGAGGUGGUGGGAUCAUUAUACUAUAACUGACUCAAGCAUGGAGGUGGUAUCAUUAUACUAUAACUGACUCAAGCAUGGAGGUGGUGGGAUCAUUAUACUAUAACUGACUCAAGCAUGGAGGUGGUGGGAUCAUUACACUAUAACUGACUCAAGCAUGGAGGUGGUGGGAUCAUUACACUAUAACUGACUCAAGCAUGGAGGUGCUGGUAUCAUUACACUAUAACUGACUCAAGCAUGGAGGUGGUGGGAUCAUUACACUAUAACUGACUCAAGCAUGGAGGUGGUGGGAUCAUUACACUAUAACUGACUCAAGCAUGGAGGUGGUGGUAUCAUUAUACUAUAACUGACUCAAGCAUGGAGGUGGUGGUAUCAUUAUACUAUAACUGACUCAAGCAUGGAGGUGGUGGUAUCAUUAUACUAUAACUGACUCAAGCAUGGAGGUGGUGGGAUCAUUACACUAUAACUGACUCAAGCAUGGAGGUGGUGGUAUCAUUACACUAUAACUGACUCAAGCAUGGAGGUGGUGGUAUCAUUACACUAUAACUGACUCAAGCAUGGAGGUGGUGGUAUCAUUAUACUAUAACUGACUCAAGCAUGGAGGUGGAGGUAUCAUUAUACUGUCAAUUUAAGAGACCACAAAUUGAGGUCCAGCUAUGUAUAAUAAAGGUGUGUGAGUCUAAUCCAGGUGUGUGUGCGUGUGUGUGUGUCUAAUCCAGGUGUGUGUGUGUGUCUAAUCCAGGUGUGUGUGAGUCUCAUCCAGGUGUGUGUGUGAGUCAGUCUAAUCCAGGUGUACCUACCUCUGUGGCUCCGUGCUGCUUGGUCUCCUCUGACAGCCAAAGGGACAACACUGUGGGGUCUGACUGCUUCACACUGGGCUCAUCCAGAACCAGCAGGCCCAGACUGUCGGCUUUACCAUCCGGCCUCGGCACCUGAAAGUCACACAGAGUGAUGUCACGGUGAUGUCACAGUGAUGAAGGUGUCUGAGUGGAGUGUUCAGGUGAGUGUGAACCUUCAGGAAGGCGUCAAUGUCUCCAACAGCAGGGAUGAAGUCUGGGAUGAAGGGCUUCAGACUGUGUUCUAGUUCCAUAGACUGAGGCGUGUACCUGACAGGAGACAGAACUCGGUUAACAGAACCGAAGCAGAAGCAGGUCAGGAAAGAAAUAAAACUUGCCAAGCAGCAAUAUAAGGACAGGGUGGAGAACCUAUUCAGGACUGGCUGUUCACGACCUGCAUGGGAGGGGGUUAAAUCCCUGCUGGGGAUACAUCCCCAUAAGUUCAUCAUCUCCUUAAAUGGGAAGUCUGAUCAUGACCUGGCAAACGAUCUAAAUAUACUUUCAAAUCAUUUUAAUGUUCAUGAUUUUAGCCACGAAUUGUCUGUGUUUAAAGGUGCUGCCUUAGAUCCAAACAGUACAGUGGCAGUGCAUGUCAACAAGCAGAGGGUACAGAGGGUGUUCCAUGGUGUGAAGGAGAGGAAAAGCCCGGGUCCUGAUGGGAUUGGAGGUCGGAUCCUGAGGAACUGCGCCAAGCAGCUGGCUGACAUCUUCAGUUUCAUCUUCUCCUGGUCACUUCAGGUCCACAGGGUGCCCCGCCUGUGGAAGGACUCGAUUACUGUCCCUGUGCCCAAAAACAAAUGCACGAAGGCACUGAAUGGCUUUAGACCCGUGGCACUCACCUCCCUGGUAAUGAAGUCCUUUGAGAGGAUUGUGAAAGAGGAUCUCAUGAACACUGUCCAGUCAAACUUGGACCCUCUCCAAUUUGCAUAUCAGUCGGGGAGGGGGGUUGAUGAUGCAACAUUCACUCUUCUUAACAUGAUAUUGUCGCAUUUAGAUGGCGUCAAUAAUUUUGCCAGUCUGCUCUUUAUCGACUUUACAUCUGCUUUUAAUUGCAUUCAGCCCCACAUUUGGGCUGAGCGUCUUCUAAAUUAUAAGACUGACAGGAGUUUGAUUUACUGGUUGUUGGAUUUCUUAACUGUUAGAUCACAACGGGUCAGGGUCAAUGGCGUUCUGUCAGAUGUUCUCUUUUCCUCCACUGGCUCCCCCCAGGGAUGCGUCCUGUCGCCCCUUCUUUUUGUGUUAUACACGGAUGCAUGUCGGAGCUCAUAUGAGAAGCGUCAUAUUGUGAAGUUCGCCAAUGAUUCUGUGAUUGUGUCCCUUCUCAGCCAUGAUGACCCUGUGCCCGGGCCUGUAGUAGAGGACUUGAUUCAGUGGCGCAAGUCGUCCUUCCUCACUAUUAAUGUUCAGAAAACCAAGGAAAUGACAACUGAUUUUAGGAAGUCCCGUUCAGUUAUCGCUCCCCUGUCAAUUAACGGUCAAACUGUGGAAUCAGUUCAGUAUAGAUAUCUUGGGAUGAUAAUUGAUGACAGGCUGUUAGAGAUGUAAAGAUAAACCGAUACGAAUCGAUAAUCUAUUCUCACCUUUAGAGAUAUGAAUACAUCGAUCGGUGUGUCUCUGGAUCGAUCUAUAUCUGCUGUGGACCAGUUGAUGUCCCUUUAAAAACAUAUGAAUCGGUUUAUUUGAGCUCUGCUACUAAAGAUGGCCACCAAAGUCUCGCGAGACUCUCACGGUGACGUAUUACGAGAGUUUCAUUUUUGUAGCAUGUUAGAGUAACUCACACACAACAGCAUGGCUGAUAGCUCCGAAACAAUUUACAGUGCACCCUCAAAUCUCAAAUCGAAAGUUUGGAAGAUCUUUGGAUUUUUCAAGAAGGAUGGAAAGUUGGAUAAAAGGCCGUUUGUAAAGUGUGUAAAGCAGCGAUUAAGUACACCGGGAGCACUCAUCUAAACCUGUGCUCCUGUUCUGUUUUAUUCUCCAUUGUUUGUGGAGAUUUUGUAUUGGUCUGUGUUAAAGACCUAGAUGCACAGUUCACAGCAGAAUAGCAGCUGCUGUUUAGUUUACUGUGUGGCACUUCAUUGUACCUGGCACUUAUGUUACUGCGGUGUUUCAACACCUGAAACUUUAUGUCCAGCUUGCUUAGGGCUCUCUAUAUUAUUAUUGUUACCUGAGCAAACAGCACUACA